rnacentral:tRNA from 1 species
CAUUGUGUAGCUUAAUAGGCUAAAGCGUAACCCUGAUAAGGUUAAAAUACCAGUUCGAUUCUGGUCGCGAUGA